GAUCCUGGCUCAGAUUGAACGCUGGCGGAAUGCUUUACACAUGCAAGUCGAACGGCAGCACGGACUUCGGUCUGGUGGCGAGUGGCGAACGGGUGAGUAAUAUAUCGGAACGUGCCCAGUCGUGGGGGAUAACGUAGUGAAAAUUACGCUAAUACCGCAUACGAUCUAAGGAUGAAAGCGGGGGGACCGUAAGGCCUCGCGCGAUUGGAGCGGCCGAUAUCAGAUUAGGUAGUUGGUGGGGUAAAGGCUCACCAAGCCAACGAUCUGUAGCUGGUCUGAGAGGACGACCAGCCACACUGGAACUGAGACACGGUCCAGACUCCUACGGGAGGCAGCAGUGGGGAAUUUUGGACAAUGGACGCAAGUCUGAUCCAGCCAUUCCGCGUGCAGGAUGAAGGCCUUCGGGUUGUAAAGCUCUUUUGUCAGGGAAGAAACACCGGCUCUAACACAGUCCGGGAAUGACGGUACCUGAAGAAUAAGCACCGGCUAACUACGUG
rnacentral:rRNA from 1 species